rnacentral:lncRNA from 1 species
AUGUUCCAGGAAGGCAGGGAGUUCCCUUUGCCGUAUGGAAGGCUACCCUGGCGGGGGCACGGCAAUGGGGAGAGGCUGGCUCUUGCCCCCAAGGAAGUCUCCCGGCCUGCCCCCCCGCCCCCGGGUCACGCAUCCCGGCGAAACCCCGGCUCGGAGGUACAAAGCAGGCGGCAGCCCGCGGGGCCGAGGGGAGUAAGGAAGUGCCGGGCUCGCCGCCGCACCGAGCUGGGGCCCCGACACCUUCCCCGGGCUCCCGAGGGUGAGAGAACUCUCAGCGUUCUAGGGAAAUCUCGCCCACCCACGGCCCCAAGCGGCCGCGGUCACUCGCACCCGGGCCGGAGCCGGGCAGGCCCGGGACCGAAUCCUGCAAGGGGAGGGUCCGGCUCUCCUGCCCGGGCGCCUUUUCCCGCGGGUGACACUUUGUGUUGGCGGUUGCUGCCUCGCACGUCGGCACUCGGCCCGAGCUCCCGCGGGUCUGGGGGCGGGGGCGGGGGCGGCUGGAAUCCCUGCCCGGCCUGGGCGGCGCGGCCCCUGGAGCGGGGGAGGGGGCGAGACCCGAAUCCAGAUGUGCUCCUAGGGCACGGCCGGCGCACGGAGGGGGAGGGGGCGCGGGUUUCUGCUCGGGAGGGAAACGUUUUCGUAGUAGGCUGUGUUUAUGCGGGCUGGGGAGGAGGGAGAGCCAGGGCCGCCCCAGGCGGCCAGCUACGAGGGCUGCCACCGAAACGUCUCGUCCUCCGCCUGCUGCACGCCCAGCCCCGGAACGAAAUCCCCCUCCGGGGGCGCAGGAGCCGCUCCCCUCCCCCGGGGUGGUCUGGGGCAGAGGCGGGAUCCGUCGCGGGGGGGAGGGGGGGGAGUGGGCAAGGGAAAGGAGCGCAGACCGCAGGACACAGAAGACCCCCCCCCCCCCCAUUCCCUACUUCGGCUCGGCUGGGUCCGGGCUGGGCAACACCUGGAAGUAGUUUCCCCCGCGCCCGGGGAAGCGCUGUCCGGCCGCCUUGGGAAGGGGCAGAGGGGCUGGACUCGCGUGGGGGACUCCGGGCAGGAGGGCGGAAGGAAGCCCCUUCCUCCCCCCGUGGAGGCGCGGGGUGCCCGGGGGCGGGGGCCGGGGGGCGGGCGCCGGGGGGGACACUCACCUCUGCUGGCCUCGGGCUGCGUGCGUGCGUGCGGCGCGGGGCAGAGCGGGGCAGGGCAGGGCGCUCCCCUCCGGCCUGGCGCGGCCCCGAGCUCUUCCUCCGGCCCCGGCCCGCCGGGGGCUGGCUGCUCCUCCGCCUCAAGGCUGCGCGGCCGGGGCCCCUCCGCCUCGGCCGCGGCCCCGGGGAGAGCUGCUCCGGGCCGCCCGGGCACCUCCUCCUCCCCCGGCCGCGGCGGCUCCAAGUUGGCCUCGGCCCCGGCGGGCUCCCAAUGGCAUAG